rnacentral:lncRNA from 1 species
UGAAACGAACGUGCAUUCCUAGCUAACGAAUCUGCAAUCUCAUUCUGCGUCCUUGGAAAGUAACUGAUCUUGAAGUCCGAAAAACAUAACCGAAGAGUUUGAAUGAUUUCCAGUUCAGUUGAGAAGUUGGGCCAACCUUGCGGCUGUUCUAUCAUUGCAAUCAGGUCCUUGCAGUCCGUCCCAAACCUCUGACAGGUCGAGUGUUGUAUCAUACUCUCCAUUGCCCACUUUAGCGCUUCCAGUUCCGAGUGCAGCGGUGUCUCUCUUCUCCGCAAGUUCCUUGACCCCAUGAGCUGUAUCUU